UCCAAUCACACACACCUGUGCACUUCGGUUGUGGCAACACGACCGCUUUACAUUAAACAAGUAAAACCUGAAUGUACAAACCAUAAACAUAAACAACUUUUAACAACGGAUCUCUUGGCUCUCGCAUCGAUGAAGAACGCAGCGAAAUGCGAUACGUAAUGUGAAUUGCAGAAUUCAGUGAAUCAUCGAAUCUUUGAACGCAUCUUGCGCCCCGUGGUAUUCCGCGGGGCAUGCCUGUUUGAGUGUCACGUAAACCCUCAUCCAUGCAAUGGCAACAUUGCAUGAAUGGAUUUGAGCGUUGCCGUAAUUGGCUCGCUCUGAAAUGCAUUAGCUUUGCGUCUAUUAGCGCGCUCGGCGUGGUGUGAUAAUUAUCUUCACCUAGCCUUAGGCCGCUUCCAACGUCGCUGCUUAUAGUGGUCUUUACAGACAACAUCUUAAAGCUUUGGCCUCAAAUCAGGUAGGACUACCCGCUGAACUUAAGCAUAUCAAUAAGCGGAGGAAAAGAAACUAACAAGGAUUCCCCUAGUAACGGCGAGUGAAGAGGGAAGAGCUCAAAUUUGAAAUCUGGCGGCCUCAGGUCGUCCGAGUUGUAAUCUAUAGAGGUGUUUUCCGUGCUGGACCGUGUACAAGUCCCUUGGA
rnacentral:rRNA from 1 species